UACAGAGGUCCCAAGCGUUGUUCGGAUUCACUGGGCGUAAAGGGUGCGUAGGCGGUCGGAUAAGUCUGACGUGAAAUCUCCGGGCCUAACCCGGAAACUGCGUUGGAAACUAUCUGGCUAGAGGAAUGGAGGGGAGACUGGAAUACUUGGUGUAGCAGUGAAAUGCGUAGAUAUCAAGUGGAACACCAGUGGCGAAGGCGAGUCUCUGGACAUUACCUGACGCUGAGGCACGAAAGCCAGGGGAGCAAACGGG
rnacentral:rRNA from 1 species